CGGAGGGUGCGAGCGUUGUCCGGAAUCACUGGGCGUAAAGGGCGCGUAGGCGGCCUGAUAAGUAGGGGGUGAAAUCCUGCGGCUUAACCGCAGGGCUGCCUUCUAAACUGUCAGGCUGGAGCACAGUAGAGGCAGGUGGAAUUCCCGGUGUAGCGGUGGAAUGCGUAGAGACCGGGAAGAACAUCAGUGGCGAAGGCGGCCUGCUGGGCUGUUGCUGACGCUGAGGCGCGACAGCGUGGGGAGCAAACAGGAUUAGAUACCCUGGUAGUCCACGCCGUAAACGACGGGCACUAGGCGUCGGGGGAGCGACCCUCCCGGUGCCGUCGCAAACGCAGUAAGUGCCCCGCCUGGGGAGUACGGCCGCAAGGCUG
rnacentral:rRNA from 1 species